rnacentral:lncRNA from 1 species
UCCUGUGGAUACUUGUAGAGGUCGGAUGCUUAUACGGCACAAAAAAAAUCAAACAGAUAUCCACGAUCAUCAAUUGUGGUGAAUAACUACCCACACAAAUGUGAAGAUGAGAUCUUCAUGGUUUUUGCUUUAAUAUAAUUUUAUUUACUACAUAUGGAUCUUAAGAACAUAAUAGAGAUAAUCUCAUGAGAUGAGAUCUAGAAGAUGCAUAUUAAAUUAAAUUAUUUUUGCUAUCUAUACAAAAUUUUUAUUAUUUUAGCAUGCA